rnacentral:rRNA from 1 species
UACGUAGGGGGCUAGCGUUGUCCGGAAUCAUUGGGCGUAAAGAGCGUGUAGGCGGUUUGGCAAGUCGGGUGUGAAAACUCCGGGCUCAACUCGGAGACGCCACUCGAUACUGCUAUGACUCGAGUCCGGUAGGGGAGUGCGGAAUUCCUGGUGUAGCGGUGAAAUGCGCAGAUAUCAGGAGGAACACCGGUGGCGAAGGCGGCACUCUGGGCCGGAACUGACGCUGAGGAGCGAAAGCGUGGGGAGCGAACAGG